AUUGAACGCUGGCGGCAUGCCUUACACAUGCAAGUCGAACGGUAACGCGGGGCAACCUGGCGACGAGUGGCGAACGGGUGAGUAAUGUAUCGGAACGUGCCCAGUAGUGGGGGAUAGCCCGGCGAAAGCCGGAUUAAUACCGCAUACGACCUAAGGGUGAAAGCGGGGGAUCGCAAGACCUCGCGCUAUUGGAGCGGCCGAUAUCAGAUUAGCUAGUUGGUGGGGUAAAAGCCUACCAAGGCGACGAUCUGUAGCUGGUCUGAGAGGACGACCAGCCACACUGGGACUGAGACACGGCCCAGACUCCUACGGGAGGCAGCAGUGGGGAAUUUUGGACAAUGGGCGAAAGCCUGAUCCAGCCAUGCCGCGUGCGGGAAGAAGGCCUUCGGGUUGUAAACCGCUUUUGUCAGGGAAGAAAAGGCUCGAACUAAUACUUUGGGCUCAUGACGGUACCUGAAGAAUAAGCACCGGCUAACUACGUGCCAGCCGCCGCAGUAACAC
rnacentral:rRNA from 1 species